UACGUAGGGGGCUAGCGUUGCUCGGAAUCACUGGGCGUAAAGGGUGCGUAGGCGGGUCUUUAAGUCAGGGGUGAAAUCCUGGAGCUCAACUCCAGAACUGCCUCCGAUACUGAGAGUCUUCGAGUCCGGGAGAGGUGAGUGGAACUGCGAGUGUAGAGGUGAAAUUCGUAGAUAUUCGCAAGAACACCAGUGGCGAAGGCGGCUCACUGGCCCGGUACUGACGCUGAGGUGCGAAAGCGUGGAGAGCAAACAGG
rnacentral:rRNA from 1 species